rnacentral:rRNA from 1 species
UAACGCGUGGGUAACCUGCCUCAUACAGGGGGAUAACAGUUAGAAAUGACUGCUAAUACCGCAUAAGCGCACAGUGCUGCAUGGCACAGUGUGAAAAACUCCGGUGGUAUGAGAUGGACCCGCAUCUGAUUAGCUAGUUGGUGGGGUAACGCCCACCAAGGCGACGAUCGGUAGCCGGACUGAGAGGUUGAACGGCCACAUUGGGACUGAGACACGGCCCAG